rnacentral:rRNA from 1 species
CACGUAGGGGGCAAGCGUUGUCCGGAUUUAUUGGGCGUAAAGAGCUCGUAGGUGGUUCAGUAAGUCGGGUGUGAAUCCUCCAGGCUCAACCUGGAGACGCCACCCGAUACUGCUGUGACUAGAGUCCAGUAGGGGAGCAUGGAAUUCCUGGUGUAGCGGUGAAAUGCGCAGAUAUCAGGAGGAACACCAGUGGCGAAGGCGGUGCUCUGGGCUGGAACUGACACUGAGGAGCGAAAGCAUGGGGAGCGAGCAGG